UACGGGGGGAGCAAGCGUUGUUCGGAUUUACUGGGCGUAAAGGGCGCGUAGGCGGCCACCGCAAGUCAGUUGUGAAAUCUCUGGGCUUAACCCAGAAAGGUCAACUGAUACUGCGGGGCUAGAGUGCAGAAGGGGCAACUGGAAUUCUCGGUGUAGCGGUGAAAUGCGUAGAUAUCGAGAGGAACACCUGCGGCGAAGGCGGGUUGCUGGGCUGACACUGACGCUGAAGCGCGAAAGCUAGGGGAGCAAACAGG
rnacentral:rRNA from 1 species